UGAGGGAUGGUAGAGUCUGGAAGAGGGGAGAAGAGGAGACAGUGUCUGUGGACAACAUGGCAGUGGGUGGAACCGGGAGCACUAGAAUGGCUGGCAGAGGAGGUCCCUGAGGAGGAUUGGCCAAGGAAGCACAGGGCAGUGGUGUGAACUGUUCCCUCUCCUGUACUUCACAGUCAUCGGUCAUCCCCUGCUCCUACCAAAGGGUAAAUGUUGGUUCCGUCAGCUGUCUCGGCUUCGUGAAAGUUUCUUGUAGUUUUCUUUGAUCUGUAUGACAGUUCAUUGUCCCGAAGAGCUAUGUCAUCCUUGGAUUUGAUGGCUUCACUGUGUACUCCUUUUUAUUUGAAAGAAAAAAGAAGCCAACUGAAAAGAGAUCUGAGCGCUGAUCCCCGUGAGAAAGGACAAAGUCACAUCCAAAGAAGCCGUUAUGCUGCCUUUGUUCCUGGACUCUACAGAGAUCCAUAUCCAGUGUGAAACAUCUCUCUGAUCACGUAUUAGAAGUCAGCAAAUAUCAUUGAAUGCAUGAAAUGAAUCAAUCCCAUGGAAAUUUAGUUUUAAACGAAGCUUUAUUGUGAAAGAUUUCAAGCAUUGGGAAGUAAAUUGCUGGGAGCAAGCCCCCCAAAAUCUGGCUAUAAACCAGCCCCAAAACUGCCCAUAAACAAAAUCUCUGCAGCACUGUGACAUGUUCAUAAUGGCACUAACGCCCAAGCUGGAAGGUUGUGGGUUUACGGGAAUGAGGGCAAGGAACACCUGGC
rnacentral:lncRNA from 1 species